rnacentral:rRNA from 1 species
UAUGGAGAGUUUGAUCCUGGCUCAGAGUGAACGCUGGCGGCGUGCCUAAUACAUGCAAGUCGAACGAUGAAGCUUCUAGCUUGCUAGAGUGCUGAUUAGUGGCGCACGGGUGAGUAACGCAUAGGUCAUGUGCCUCUUAGUUUGGGAUAGCCAUUGGAAACGAUGAUUAAUACCAGAUACUCCCUACGGGGGAAAGAUUUAUCGCUAAGAGAUCAGCCUAUGUCCUAUCAGCUUGUUGGUAAGGUAAUGGCUUACCAAGGCUAUGACGGGUAUCCGGCCUGAGAGGGUGAACGGACACACUGGAACUGAGACACGGUCCAGACUCCUACGGGAGGCAGCAGUAGGGAAUAUUGCUCAAUGGGGGAAACCCUGAAGCAGCAACGCCGCGUGGAGGAUGAAGGUUUUAGGAUUGUAAACUCCUUUUGUUAGAGAAGAUAAUGACGGUAUCUAACGAAUAAGCACCGGCUAACUCCGUGCCAGCAGCCGCGGUAAUACGGAGGGUGCAAGCGUUACUCGGAAUCACUGGGCGUAAAGAGCGCGUAGGCGGGAUAGUCAGUCAGGUGUGAAAUCCUAUGGCUUAACCAUAGAACUGCAUUUGAAACUACUAUUCUAGAGUGUGGGAGAGGUAGGUGGAAUUCUUGGUGUAGGGGUAAAAUCCGUAGAGAUCAAGAGGAAUACUCAUUGCGAAGGCGACCUGCUGGAACAUUACUGACGCUGAUUGCGCGAAAGCGUGGGGAGCAAACAGGAUUAGAUACCCUGGUAGUCCACGCCCUAAACGAUGGAUGCUAGUUGUUGGAGGGCUUAGUCUUUCCAGUAAUGCAGCUAACGCAUUAAGCAUCCCGCCUGGGGAGUACGGUCGCAAGAUUAAAACUCAAAGGAAUAGACGGGGACCCGCACAAGCGGUGGAGCAUGUGGUUUAAUUCGAAGAUACACGAAGAACCUUACCUAGGCUUGACAUUGAGAGAAUCCGCUAGAAAUAGUGGAGUGUCUGGCUUGCCAGACCUUGAAAACAGGUGCUGCACGGCUGUCGUCAGCUCGUGUCGUGAGAUGUUGGGUUAAGUCCCGCAACGAGCGCAACCCCCUUUCUUAGUUGCUAACAGGUCAUGCUGAGAACUCUAAGGAUACUGCCUCCGUAAGGAGGAGGAAGGUGGGGACGACGUCAAGUCAUCAUGGCCCUUACGCCUAGGGCUACACACGUGCUACAAUGGGGUGCACAAAGAGAAGCAAUACUGCGAAGUGGAGCCAAUCUUCAAAACACCUCUCAGUUCGGAUUGUAGGCUGCAACUCGCCUGCAUGAAGCUGGAAUCGCUAGUAAUCGCAAAUCAGCCAUGUUGCGGUGAAUACGUUCCCGGGUCUUGUACUCACCGCCCGUCACACCAUGGGAGUUGUGUUUGCCUUAAGUCAGGAUGCUAAAUUGGCUACUGCCCACGGCACACACAGCGACUGGGGUGAAGUCGUAACAAGGUAACCGUAGGUGAACCUGCGGUUGGAUCACCUCCUU